UUAGAGUUUGAUCCUGGCUCAGGAUGAACGCUAGCGGCAGGCUUAACACAUGCAAGUCGAGGGGCAGCGCGGGAUAGCAAUAUCCUGGCGGCGACCGGCGGAAGGGUGCGUAACGCGUGAGCGACAUGCCCGUUGCCCGGGGACAACCGGUGGAAACGCCGACUAAUCCCCGAUGGGAUACGAUGCUUCAUGGCAUUGUAUUGAAAGUUACGGCGGCGACGGAUUGGCUCGCGUCCGAUUAGCUUGUUGGCGGGGUAACGGCCCACCAAGGCUACGAUCGGUAGGGGUUCUGAGAGGAAGGCCCCCCACAAUGGGACUGAGACACGGCCCAUACUCCUACGGGAGGCAGCAGUGAGGAAUAUUGGUCAAUGGGCGGAAGCCUGAACCAGCCAUGCCGCGUGCGGGAAGGAGGCCCUAUGGGCUGUGAACCGCUUUUGCCUGGGGGCAAUAAGGGCGUCGCGCACGCCCGAUGAGAGUACCAGGCGAAUAAGCAUCGGCUAACUCCGUGCCAGCAGCCGCGGUAAUACGGGGGGAUGCGAGCGUUAUCCGGAUUCAUUGGGUUUAAAGGGUGCGUAGGCUGUGCGUCAAGUCGGGGGUGAAAUUCCGGUGCUCAACACCGGGGCUGCCCUUGAUACUGUCGCGCUGGAGUGCGGAUGCCGCCGGAGGAAUGAGUGGUGUAGCGGUGAAAUGCUUAGAUAUCACUCAGAACACCGAUUGCGAAGGCAUCUGGCGAAUCCGUAACUGACGCUGAGGCACGAAAGUGUGGGGAUAGAACAGGAUUAGAUACCCUGGUAUUCCACGCCGUAAACGAUGAUGGCUAACCGCCGGCCACACACUUGCGGGGGCCAACCGAAAG
rnacentral:rRNA from 1 species